CUCCUGGAAAACGGGUGGUAAUGCCGGAUGCUCCAGUUGACCGCAUGGUCCUCUGGGAAAGCUUUUGCGGUAUGGGAUGGGGUCGCGUCCUAUCAGCUUGAUGGCGGGGUAACGGCCCACCAUGGCUUCGACGGGUAGCCGGCCUGAGAGGGCGACCGGCCACAUUGGGACUGAGAUACGGCCCAGACUCCUACGGGAGGCAGCAGUGGGGAAUAUUGCACAAUGGGCGCAAGCCUGAUGCAGCGACGCCGCGUGCGGGAUGACGGCCUUCGGGUUGUAAACCGCUUUUGACUGGGAGCAAGCCCUUCGGGGUGAGUGUACCUUUCGAAUAAGCACCGGCUAACUACGUGCCAGCAGCCGCGGUAAUACGUAGGGUGCAAGCGUUAUCCGGAAUUAUUGGGCGUAAAGGGCUCGUAGGCGGUUCGUCGCGUCCGGUGUGAAAGUCCAUCGCUUAACGGUGGAUCCGCGCCGGGUACGGGCGGGCUUGAGUGCGGUAGGGGAGACUGGAAUUCCCGGUGUAACGGUGGAAUGUGUAGAUAU
rnacentral:rRNA from 1 species